rnacentral:rRNA from 1 species
AUGCCUGGGCACUUGCUGUUGGUUCAGAACCGUGUUAGGCUAAUGGCUUCCAUCCACUGGGCACUACUACUCUUUCUUGUACAACUCCCCAUACUGGCCACCUCCAGCGCCCACAGUGAUGGUAACCUCACACUGUGGUGCCAUCCAGACCAGGCUGCAGCGCUUCUCCAACUAAAGCAAUCCUUCUUUGCUGCAGCAACCACCGCGGCUCUCCUUCCGUCAUGGCAAAAUGGCACCAAUUGCUGUCUCUGGGAGGGCAUUAUCUGUGAUGCUUCUUCUGGUCUUGUGACAGUACUAGACCUCAGUGGGCAUGGCCUGAACAGUUAUGGCUUGGACCCUGCGCUCUUCAGCCUCAAAUCCCUCCGACGUCUCGAUCUUAGCAUGAAUUCUUUAGGUGAUUACAGCUACAACAUCACCACUGCUGAGUUUGAGAGGCUCGCUCUGCUAACCCAUCUCAAUCUCUCCAAUGCGGACUUGUAUGGGCAGAUACCUAUUGGCAUCAGCAAACUCGUUAACCUUGUCUCCUUGGAUCUUUCAAGUCACACAGUUUCCGAUUAUGAUGAUCCUACCUCUGCAGCUGACAGUUUUAAUGAUCUGCAGUGGGAGCCCAAUUUUGAGAUCCUGGUAGCGAACCUUAACAAUAUAAGAGAGCUCUACCUUGAUGGAGUGCAGAUAAUGUCUAGCAGCGGUGAAGAUUGGGGCAAAGCUCUUGCAAAAUAUGUUCCUCAUCUUCAGGUACUUAGCUUGCAGGGAUGCAGGCUGAAUGGUCCUAUUCAUCAUUCCCUCUCAAGCCUCCAUUCUCUUGUUGCGAUCAACCUUGGAUCCAAUGAUAUUGGUCCGAUUCCAGAGUUCUUCGCAGAUUUUCCCAAUCUAAGUGAGCUUCAACUUUCGUAUAUGAAUCUUCAGGGGUGGUUCCCUGAAAGAUUUUUUCAACUCAAAAAUUUAAGGGUCCUAGAUUUGUCCUCAAACCCGAAUCUCUCGGGGCAUUUGCCAAACUUUCCCCAUGCAAGUUUUCUACAUACUUUGAGGCUAGAGGGGACUAACUUCUCCUAUUCUAAACCAAGUUCUUCUGGUGAUUUCAAGCUGUUGAGGGAGUUAACUCUUGACGGGAAAUUUCUAUCGAUGGAUUUUCUCUCUUCAUUCGGUGUACUUGGGUCUUUAUGCCGGUUGACAGUUGAUUUGAUGGACUCACAAAAUGGUUUGGGACCGAUUUUGUCAUGGAUGGGAGGCCUCAGGAACUUGAUGAGCUUGGAACUCUAUAGCUGCGACUUCUCUUGGAUAAUGCCUUCCUCCAUUAGGAACCUGAAGGCGUUGAGAAGCUUGAAGAUGUCCGAUUGCAACCUCCCUAGGCCCAUACUGUCUGAAAUUGGCAAUCUCAUUAAUUUGCAAAACUUGGAAAUAUCUGGUAUGUCCGACUGCAAAUUGCAUGGUUCAGUUACAUCCUCAAUAGGCAACCUCACAAAUUUAAGAAGGUUGUACAUGAAGAAUUGUGAUUAUUGUGGAGCAAUUCCAGCUGCAAUUGGCUAUCUUGGAAACUUAAGAAGAUUGGCGAUCUACAGUUGUGACUUUACUGGGGCAUUACCAUCUGCAGUUGGCAACCUCACUAAUUUGAAAAGCAUGGUUAUUGAAAGUAGUCAGCUUUCUGGGCCAAUACCUUAUGCAGUUGGGCAACUCAAGGAAUUGACACGUCUAACUAUUUUAGGGGGGAGCAUUUCUGGGAGGAUACCAAGUUCACUUCUCAAUUUAACUCGACUGGCAGAACUGGAUCUCUAUUAUAAUCAUGUGAGCGGUCAUAUUCCGACACCUCUUUUCUCUCUUCCAAAAUUACGCUACUUGAAUCUUGGUUGGAACCAAUUUUCUGGUCCUAUAGAAGAGUUUGACGCGGCAUCUUCAUGCUUACAGUUAGUAAUUUUGAGCGGAAAUGAACUGGCUGGGCAGUUUCCCAACUCGUUCUUUCAACUUACAGAUUUGGUUUGUCUAGAAAUCAAUGAGAACAACUUUGUAGGUUCACUGGAUCUUUCAUCUUUCUGGAGGUUAAGAAAGCUCUCUUCUUUGGAUCUUUCACACAAUAAGCUCUCUGUUACGAAUGAAGAAGGAACCACCUCUUUUUCCACCUAUCUCCCUGGACUUAAAACCUUAGGAGUUGCCUGUUGCAAUAUAACCAAAAUUCCUAGAAUUUUGACACGUCUUCAUGACAUGUCUUACCUGGACCUUUCUUGCAACAAAAUCACAGGGGAUAUACCGAAGUUGAUAUGGGAGAGGUGGAGCAGUAGCCUUUUACAUUUAUAUCUUUCACACAACAUGUUCAUUGGUAUGGAACUUACUUCACAUGUUCUUCCUUUCAGUUGUCCCUUGGAAGUUCUUGAUCUUAGUUCCAAUAGGCUUCAGGGACAUAUUCCUAUGCCAAACUCAUCAGCAAAUUAUUUGGAUUAUUCACAUAAUUAUUUUUCUUCUCUCCUUCCAAACUUCACUCUGUGUCUCAGUGAAACCAUGUAUCUCAGGAUGUCCAACAAUAGUAUAAAUGGGCAUUUACCAAAUUCAGUUUGCAAUUCCAGCAUGUUGGGUGUCCUUGACCUAUCAUAUAACACUUCAGUGGGCCGAUUCCAUCCUGUCUGA